rnacentral:rRNA from 1 species
CCUACGGGUGGCAGCAGUAGGGAAUAUUGCUCAAUGGGGGAAACCCUGAAGCAGCAACGCCGCGUGGAGGAUGAAGGCUUUCGGAUUGUAAACUCCUUUUGUUAGAGAAGCAAAUGACGGUAUCUAACGAAUAAGCACAGGCUAACUACGUGCCAGCAGCCGCGGGAAUACGGAGGGAGCAAGCGUUACACGGAAUCACUGGGCGUAAAGAGCGCGUAGGCGGGAUAGCAAGUCAGAUGUGAAAUCCUAGGGUUUAAACAUAGAACUGCAUUUGAAACUGUUAUUCUAGAGUAUGGGAGAGGUAGGUGGAAUUCUUGGUGUAGGGGUAAAAUCCGUAGAGAUCAAGAGGAAUACUCAUUGCGAAGGCGGCCUGCUAGAACAUAACUGACGCUGAUGCGCGAAAGCGUGGGGAGCGAACAGGAUUAGAUACCCCUGUAGUC